AUGUGGGAGGAAUGCUUGCCUCAUAUUGAAUUUGCUUAUAAUCGUUCAAUGCAUUCUACUACUAAGAUGUGCCCUUUUGAAGUUGUGUAUGGUUUCCUACCUCGUGCACCUAUUGAUUUGUUGCCUCUUCCAUCUUCGGAGAAGGUUAAUUUUGAUGCUAAACAACAUGCUGAAUUGAUUUUAAAAAUGCAUGAGUUAACUAAGGAAAACAUUGAGCGCAUGAAUGCUAAAUAUAAACUUGCUGGAGAUAAGGGUAGAAAACAUGUUGUGUUUGCACCUGGAGAUCUUGUUUGGUUACAUUUGCGUAAGGAUAGAUUUCCUGAUUUGCGCAAAUCAAAGUUAAUGCCACGUGCUGAUGGUCCCUUUAAGGUGUUAGAGAAAAUAAAUGAUAAUGCAUAUAAACUUGAGCUGCCUGCAGAUUUUGGGGUUAGUCUCACUUUUAACAUUGCAGAUUUGAAGCCUUAUUUGGGUGAGGAAGAUGAACUUCCGUCGAGGACGACUUCAUUUCAAGAAGGGGAGGAUGAUGAGGACAUCAAUACAAUUGUUACACCCACAGCCCCUGCUGCUAUACAUACUGGACCAAUUACUAGAGCUCGUGCACGCCAACUAAAUUACCAGGAAACAGACCCUCGUGGUCAGGUUGAUCGUGCUCCGGCGUGGUCAAUAACCUCUCGGAGUUGGUUUAGCGAUUGCUAA
rnacentral:rRNA from 1 species